AUGAGAAAGAAUCUGGUCAGUCCAAUGAUUUGCAGCGAAGAAUAGUUGGAGAUAUCAAGAACAAAAUAUUUUUAAAAUUGCAUAAUGGGGAGAUCCUUUCACUAUGGAAGGGUUUACUCCUGAAUGAGUCAGAGAGCAUUUUGUUUGAGAACAAGAAGGCGCUUGCUGCAGAUGAUAUCAGGAAUAGGAUUUGUUUGACAGAAAAUGAAUUCACUAAGAAGUUGAAAUAUCUGAUCCAUGAACCAAGGGAUAAUACCCGUUUGAGGAUUGUGUUGCUUGCAAGAGGUGGGCAUUUUGCAGGCUGUGUUUUUGAUGGUACCAAAGCUGUGGCACAUAAGACAUUCCACAGAUAUGUUAUACGGGCCAAGGCUGGUAAGAAACAAUCAUCAAAAGAUGCAAGUGGCAAAAUGGCGCACUCUGCUGGAGCAUCAAUUCGUCGGUAUAAUGAACUUGCUCUUAAAAAGGAAAUUCAAGAUCUGUUCUUAGCAUGGAAGCCUUACUUUGCUGAUUCGUCCUGUAUCUUCAUCCAUGCUCCUUCUAACAACAGGCAACUGUUUUUUGAUGGAGAUCAACCAUAUUUUGUUUGUCAGCUUAAUGUUAUAAGAAAUAUUCCUUUGACUGUUAGAAGACCUACCUACAAGGAAGCUCGACGAAUAUAUGGCUUAUUGACGCAAGUAUCCUUUGAAGUAAACGAGGAAGUUGCACCUGCUUGUGAAGAGGUGUCACUAUUAAGUGCAAGUGAUUUGAGCAGCAAGUGUAAUGAGUCCAUGGAGGUUUUGAAGGAAAGUUUGGAGACUAAGGAAGUCCCAAAAGCAUCUUCUAGUGUUAUGCCAUCUCCUAAUGCGAUCAUUUCAAGUGAUAGUGAUAGUGAUAGUGAUAAUAACACUGUUGGUACAUCCACUCCUUUACAUGAAGCAGCAAAGUGUGGUGCUUCUGAAAAGGUUUUUGAACUUCUAGAACAAGGAAUAGAUCCUUGCCUCAAAGACGAGCGAGGGAGAACACCAUAUAUGGUUGCAACUGAAAAAGAAGUGAGAAACGCAUUUAGGCGCUUCAUGGCAUCAAACCUUGACAAGU
rnacentral:misc_RNA from 1 species